ensembl:lncRNA
CUUUGGUUGCAUUUUGUCUUCGAUACACAUGUUCAUUUAUGUGUAUAACAUCAAAACUGUAAUCAAGUGGCUUCAGAUUUGAAGGCACAAGGAAAUUUCAAGCAGUUUCAAACUUUUAAAUUGCCUGAUGCCUUCCCAGUCUGUUUGGCUUGAGAUUUUAAGUAUCUGAAAGUCAGUAGAUUCAAAUAUGCAAUGUAAUUCCUGCAUUUGUCAUAUAGGACCAUACUGAAAAUAAACAGCACCCCAAGGACACAUUUCUCAGGAUAGCCCAUGAUCCAUAAAACUGAUUUAGAAUGAGUUCUUAUUUGAAAGGGGGGAGGUCAUUUUUUUUUCUCUCUUCUUUCUCUCUGCCACCUUUCUUCAUUCAUUCCUCUCUCUCACUUUCCUUCUACCUUUCCUGUCUUAUAUUUGUUUUCCACUUUCUAUCAAGUUUGUAUAGAGGAAAGUGAGCCUGAAAGAUUAAUAAUAUGUUGUAUAAUAGCACAGAUUUUUCCUGAUUGCUAAUUCAUUUUCAAAUAUUUUUAUUCCGCUUUGAUAGGCUUGGAGCACUUAAAAUUAAUUCACUUCCACCAAUGUGAUUAUUUGUGGGGCUUUUGAGAGCCUCAUCUAUGGAAUCAUAACAGGGAAUUGUGACUAGAUAGAUCUGAACUAAAGUUCAUAAGCUAUUUCAUUCAUUCAUACAGUCAUCCCCCCAUCCAUCUAUUCAUUUGUUCAUGAAUUUAUGCAAGGGUAUUGACUGAGGGCUAACCAUGUAUGUUGCACAGUGCCAGACACUGGCUGAAGAGGGCACGUAUAGCCCUCCCCUCAGUAAGUGUGACAUGUGUGAUAACAAAAUGUAGUCCAGUCAUGGUAGUUGUCUAAAGCACAGAGAAUUAUAACAUGAGUAACUGUUAUUAUAUACGUGGGAGAUUUUUUCGCUAAAACUUAUGGUAGGAUUGUGAUGAAUGGUGAUGUUACCUAAUAAAAUGUUUGAAACAAUUUUUCUUUCAUACUCUCCAUUCUGUAUUUAUGACUGUCUAUGAGACGAAUUAAAAAUUAUCCUUGUACUGAGGAGUUUAUAAUCUUGUGACCAGAUACGGGUAAAUUGAUAACAUCAAGUGUAAUAUGCUGCAAUACAGAACUAAGCCCUAGGGGCUCUUGGGUCUUGAGUGGGCACCUAACCCAGCCUGAGAGCUAGGGACUCAGGGAGGCUUCCUGGAGGAAGUGAUACUGGAACAAAGUGGGAAGGAUGGUGGCCCAGUGUCAGCCAGUUUUGAUAGGAUUAACUGAUACAAUCAUGAGUAAAUGAUUUAUGCUCAGCAUUAUUGUAAACAAAGUAGGAGGUUAAAGCACAUGGAACAUUAGAAAUAUUUAAAUUAAUGAAAAAUAGUAAAUAAAUAAAUGGAGUUUUCUGGUGACAAAACAAUUGACCUCGCUUUCUUCAAGAGAAGGAAUAACAAGGUGUGACCAUUAAAAAAUACGCCAUUGCACUGGUGUGCCCAUUCACACACAUGCUAGGAUGUCCUCAGGAGUUGGACCAUCCCAGAAAGUGUCCCUAGGCUCCCAGAGGUGAACAAAAAGGGAACACCAACAAGGAGACUUGGGCUCCACUCCUGAUCUUACUCUGUAGGAAAUGAAGGCUCAUGGCAUUUUAAGCAGAACAUUUAAGAUUCUGUUUUGUAGAACUCUAAAAUCCAAAUAAGACUUUAUUUGGGAAAGUGUUAACAAGUCGGUCCACCAGACCUGCCCUGGGAUCAUGGGAUUCGCACAGCCAAUAAGGAAAUGGAUGCUGAGACUGGAGCAGCACAGGCUUUAUUCAAUGGCCAGGAAUGGAGAAGUAGGAACCUAGUUCGCUAUUAACUUCUCAACCCAAUUUGGGUGGAGACACCAAAUGUACAGGAGAAUCUAAGUAAAAGGAGGGAAGUAGAAAGAAUGGGAGGAAUAUUCAUGAGUUACCUGAAAACUGGGAUGUAGUUUGGACCUGGAACUGAUGGCAGCUCUCCUUUUCAGUCCUUGUAUGAACUUCUUUUCAGGUUGUUGUCAUGGAAGUUUUCAACCAUCAUGGCGCUGGUGGGUAUGUCAGCAUAUAAUGAGGCUCAAGAUCCACAGGAAGUCAAAUCUUCCACUGUCGUGCGCCUAGUUGAUUCUAACCAGUUCUUGGCUUUUUUCUUUUUUGCAGCCUCCUCUUGAAACUUAGAUAAGAGUAAUUGGUUUCUGUUCCAAAGAGGGGCAGGGGUAUGAUUCUGGGGUACCAGCCUUGGUAACCAAAGGGGUUCUACAAUUGAAACAGAUCUUAAAGCCACUAGUUUAGAAAGUGUGAAGUGGUUCUCGAUGUAUUAAAAUCUAGAUUUUAAUUUAUUUAUUAGAAUUGUUAAAUUUUUGUAUAUUAAAAUUCUUGCUAAGAAGUUUCCAUAGUAAAAAACUGAAGAAGCCUCUCUUCACAUGCAUACCUUCUUCAUAAAAAGAUGGCAAAUCCUUCUAAAAAUAUACACACAUAAAAAUGGCAAUUUUAAAUAGAGAUUAUCAAAAUUUCAGACAUGUUCAGAGAAGCAUAGCAUGAAAGAGUUAAUCUUACAUGCCCUGUCUUUUAAGGGCACUCUUGAGAAUGGUAGCACUUGUCCCAUUCAAGAGUUGAAGUAUCCAACCACAUCUAUCAUUGCUCUUGUGUAACAACUGUUUUUAAAGGAAGCAUAUUUUCACUAUGUUAUAUUAUUUUCAAAAGUGUAAUAGCUUUGGUUUUUGGCUUAUAACAAAUAUUAAAUAGAACUUUCUCAUUGUGUUCAAAAUUGAAAUUUUGGUUCACAUAGCUAUGACUCAAAAUUGGGUUUAGGUCAAAUAUUGGCAGUUUCAUAUGUUUUGCUCUAAUUAUUUGCCAUGAUGCUGUUGGCAGAUAAUAUUCUACAUUCAAAUGAAUAUAUUUUAUAUUAAAGAAAUUCCCGUCGUGGCUCAGUGGUUAACGAAUCCGACUAGGAACCAUGAGGUUGCGGGUUCGAUCCCUGGCCUUGCUCAGUGGGUUAAGGAUCUGGCGUUGCCAUGAGCUGUGGUGUAGGUCACAGACAUGGCUCGGAUCCCGUGUUGCUGUGGUAGUGGUGUAGGCUGGUGGCUACAGCUCCGAUUUGACCCCUAGCCUGGGAACCUCCAUAUGCC